CACCGGGGAGGAAGUUUCUGCCGGCAGGGAUUAUGCGCAGUUUCCUCAGCCCUGGAGCUUCGGCCUUGUCCCCUCCCACUGCCGAAAAAGCAGCGAUUCCACAAAAUGAGCAGGAGGGGGAUAGCGGAGCGCCGCAAACUUAAACCUGCUCUUCUCUCCACCAGGCAGUGCCCGAAGGUUUUUCACUCGCUUGCUUUAUAUACUUAUUUAUUUAUUUACUCUCAAGCUCCGCUCUAGAUUGCAUCACAUUAUAUUUUCAGUAGGAAAGGACUAACGUUUCGGCUGUGUUCGCAGCACCAUGGUACAGAAGUGCAUUGUAUUGGGACCCGAGUAAGGAAGGAGGGAGCGUGAGAGGAGGAGGAGGAGGAGGGUGCUGGAGAAGCACACAGCUGCACGGCACACUGAAGCCGGCUUCCCAACCCUGACAGCAAGGGAGCGAGUGAACAAGGGGCCUCGCUACAGCAGCUCUGUACAGGAGAGAGAUUUCCUUUCUUUCUUUCUCCGUUUUGUUUUGUUUGUUUUUGUUUUGUUUUUUUCCAAACGCAACAAAAUACAGAAUGGAUCAGGAAAGGAAAGAGGAUUUUUUUUUCUCUCUUCUCCAUGGUUGGCUACUCUUAUCCACUACAUACAACGAGCAUCAGCAUAUGAUACAUGUCCGGAGUUGUGCUACGUCAGGAGUAGAAAUUUAAGAAGUCACCUUGUUCAGCAUUCAGGUUUGGUCCAGCUUUUAAGUACCGCACUGCUGAAAAAUAUGCAGUUUCUACCAAUGCAAAGGGCCAGUUUCUUCCCACAAAUCAUUCAGAGCAACGUAAAGGAUUUUCCACUGCAGCCAUGCAUAAGUCAUGUAGCCCUACCCCUUUCACCUGCGGCAGUGUGUGUGUGUGUGUGUGUGAAAAGCACAGCUGGUAAGUACUGCAUAUCCAGAAGAUUCGCAGACACAUAUAUACAGUGUAUUCAUCAUAUUUAAACUGAAGGCAGGAGGUGGUUGAGUUCAGUGUCUCAGGCACACACACACACACACACACACACACACACACACAAGCCUUUCUUUAAUAAUAUAAACUCAUUAGGCAAGUACAACUUGUUGUGUGAUCUAGUCCUUAAGCUAAUAAUUAUGAAAUAAUAACUGAUGCAGUGUCAUGUAUUCAACAUGUCUUUAAACUUGAAAAACCAUGAAUAA